GUUCAAAUAGUUUAUUAAAAAUAUUGAUUUGUGGUGUCAAUGAAAUGCUUGGUCAUUUUGGAUC
rnacentral:tRNA from 1 species